GUGCUCACUUCGGCAGCACAUAUACUAAAAUUAGGACAAUACAGAUAAGAUUAGCAUGACACCUACACAAGGUUGACAUGUAAAUCCAUGAAGUGUUCCAUAUUUUA